CCUACGGGUGGCAGCAGUGAGGAAUAUUGGUCAAUGGACGAGAGUCUGAACCAGCCAAGUAGCGUGAAGGAUGACAGCCCUAUGGGUUGUAAACUUCUUUUAUAUGGGAAUAAAAUGUUCCACGUGUGGGAUUUUGUAUGUACCAUAUGAAUAAGGAUCGGCUAACUCCGUGCCAGCAGCCGCGGUAAUACGGAGGAUCCGAGCGUUAUCCGGAUUUAUUGGGUUUAAAGGGAGCGUAGGUGGAUUGUUAAGUCAGUUGUGAAAGUUUGCGGCUCAACCGUAAAAUUGCAGUUGAAACUGGCAGUCUUGAGUACAGUAGAGGUGGGCGGAAUUCGUGGUGUAGCGGUGAAAUGCUUAGAUAUCACGAAGAACUCCGAUUGCGAAGGCAGUUCACUGGACUGCAACUGACACUGAGGCUCGAAAGUGUGGGUAUCAAACAGGAUUAGAUACCCGAGUAGUC
rnacentral:rRNA from 1 species